UACGGGGGGGGCAAGCGUUGUUCGGAAUUACUGGGCGUAAAGCGCGUGUAGGCGGCUCUGCAAGUCGGGUGUGAAAUCCCAUGGCUCAACCAUGGAAGUGCACUCGAAACUGCAGGGCUAGAGUCCUGGAGAGGAAGGUGGAAUGCUUGGUGUAGAGGUGAAAUUCGUAGAUAUCAAGCGGAACACCGGUGGCGAAGGCGGCCUUCUGGACAGUGACUGACGCUGAGACGCGAAAGCGUGGGGAGCAAACAGG
rnacentral:rRNA from 1 species